GACGAACUGUCCUAACGUUGUUCGGAAUCAUUGGGCGUAAAGGGCUCGUAGGCGGUCUGUUGCGUCAGGAGUGAAAACUCGGGGCUUAACCCCGAGCCUGCUUCUGAUACGGGCAGACUAGAGGUAUGCAGGGGAGAACGGAAUUCCUGGUGUAGCGGUGAAAUGCGCAGAUAUCAGGAGGAACACCGAUAGCGAAGGCAGCUCGCUGGGACGGUACUGACGCUGAGGCGCGAAAGCGUGGGGAGCGAACAGG
rnacentral:rRNA from 1 species